rnacentral:rRNA from 1 species
UGAGUGCUUGCACUUGGAUGGACUGAGUGGCGGACGGGUGAGUAACGCGUGGGUAACCUGCCUUAUACAGGGGGAUAACAGUUGGAAACGACUGCUAAUACCGCAUAAGCGCACGGUACCGCAUGGUACAGUGUGAAAAACUCCGGUGGUGUGAGAUGGAUCCGCGUCUGAUUAGCCAGUUGGCGGGGUAACGGCCCACCAAAGCGACGAUCAGUAGCCGACCUGAGAGGGUGAUCGGCCACAUUGGGACUGAGACACGGCCCAGACUCC